rnacentral:rRNA from 1 species
UACGUAGGGGGCAAGCGUUGUCCGGAAUCAUUGGGCGUAAAGCGCGCGUAGGCGGCCCGAUAAGUCUGCUGUAAAAGUCAACGGCUCAACCGUUGAAAGCCGGUGGAUACUGUCGGGCUAGAGUUCGGAAGAGGCAAGUGGAAUUCCUGGUGUAGCGGUGAAAUGCGCAGAUAUCAGGAGGAACACCGGUGGCGAAGGCGGGUCUCUGGGCAGUAACUGACGCUGAGGAGCGAAAGCGUGGGGAGCGAACAGG